GGAUUCCCUUAGUAGCGGCGAGCGAAGAGGGAAAAGCCCAGCACUAAGGGUCAAUUGUAUCCUUCGGGAGGCAAUUUCGACCGAUGCAGUGUUUGGGAGCCUCGUAAGACCGUCGCUUGUCCAGUCUAAAGUCCUCAUGAAUGUGGCCCGAUUGCCCAGAGAGGGUGUCAGGCCCGUAGGACGGAUGAGCGCUCGGCAUUCCGAGGUCUCUCUAGAGUCGUGUUGCUUGAGAAUGCAGCGCUAAUCAGGUGGUAAACUCCAUCUAAGGCUAAAUAUGAAUGUGAGACCAAUAGAAGACAAGUACCGCGAGGGAAAGUUGAAAAGAACUCUGAAGAGAGAGUUAAACAUUGCGUGAAAUCCUCCAGGGGUUUAAAACGGAAGGACUUUCGAAGUUCGAGCCAUYUUCGGGAUCAGUGUCGUGGGUAGCGAGUGCUGAUGUGAUGGGUUGAGGGCAGCCUCGGCUGUUCUCUGGUCAUGUUGGUCAUCUGCGUUGCUUACGGCGUGUAUUCCCGGGUGGAUUCGUAAUCCGCACGCGGCUGGAACGGUGUCAAAGGACCCAGUGCUUUUGUUGCUUCGGCUUCAAGACGCUGGAUUCCCGGCAACGAUUCGGCCCGGCUUCUGUUGCUGGGAGCCCUUUUGUGGGUCUCCUGGGUGAGCGGAGAGUAGGCGAGUUCCUUCCGACCCGUCUUGAAACACGGACCAAGGAGUCUAACUUGUGUGCGAGUCGUAGGUCGAUGAGAAGACCGAUGGCGGAAUGAAAGUUAAGGUAUUGCUUGCAAUGCUGAUGGGAGAUCCUUCUCCACUGGAGAGGGCGCAUCCCAGGGGCGUCGUGAUCCCGUUGCGGAUGCGACGCACCUAGAGCACACAUGAUGGGACCCGAAAGAUGGUGACCCUAUGCCUGGC
rnacentral:rRNA from 1 species